rnacentral:rRNA from 1 species
UACGUAGGGGGCAAGCGUUGUCCGGAAUCAUUGGGCGUAAAGCGCGUGUAGGCGGCCCGAUAAGUCCGCUGUGAAAGUCCAGGGCUCAACCCUGGGAUGCCGGUGGAUACUGUCGGGCUCGAGUCCGGAAGAGGCGAGUGGAAUUCCGUGGUGUAGCGGUGAAAUGCGCAGAUAUCAGGAGGAACACCAAUGGCGAAGGCAGCUCGCUGGGACGUGACUGACGCUGAGACGCGAAAGCGUGGGGAGCAAACAGG